AUUAGAUACNNCCGGGUAGUCCCAGCUGUAAACGAUGCAGACUCGGUGAUGCAUUGGCUUGUGGCCAAUGCAGUGCCGCAGGGAAGCCGUUAAGUCUGCCGCCUGGGAAGUACGUACGCAAGUAUGAAACUUAAAGGAAUUGGCGGGGGAGCACCACAAGGGGUGNNNNNNNCGGUUCAAUUGGAGUCAACGCCAGAAAUCUUACCUGGGGAGACAGCAGAAUGAAGGUCAAGCUGAAGACUUUACCAGACACGCUGAGAGGUGGUGCAUGGCCGUCGCCAGCUCGUGCCGUGAGAUGUCCUGUUAAGUCAGGUAACGAGCGAGACCCCUGCGUCUAGUUGCUACCAUUACUCUCUGGAGCAGUGGAGCGAAUUAGACGGACCGCCACAGUUAAUGUGGAGGAAGGA
rnacentral:rRNA from 1 species